UAUAAUUUAAGGUUUAAUCUGCUCAAUGAGGUAUUAAAUUGCCGCAGUAUUUUGACUGUGCAAAGGUAGCAUAAUAAUUAGUUUCUUGAUUAGAAGCUUGAAUGAAUGAUUGAACGAGAAAAUUACUGUCUCUUUCUGAUUGGUUUUUGAAAUUUAUUUUUAAGUAAAAAAGCUUAAAUUUAUAUAAAAGACGAGAAGACCCUAUAGAGUUUUAUAUUUGAUUUUUAUUAUUUUUUAGAAUUUAUUUUAAAACUUGAGUAUUUAGUUGGGGUGACUUAAAGAUUUAAAUAAUUCUUUAAAUUAUUUAUUGAUGAUUAUUAAAUUUUAUAUCUAUUAUUUUUAAAUUUAAUAUAAAUUACCUUAGGGAUAACAGCGUAAUUUUUCUUUAAAGUUCUUAUUGAAAGAAGAGUUUGCGACCUCGAUGUUGGAUUAAAAUUAAUUUUUGGUGCAAUAACUAAAAAAUUAGGUCUGUUCGACCUUUAAAAUUUUACAUGAUCUGAGUUUAAACCGGUGUAAGCCAGGUUGGAUUUUAUCUUUAGAAUUAUAAAAUAUUUUAGUACGAAAGGACCAAUUAUUUAUUAUAUAUUAAUUA
rnacentral:rRNA from 1 species